UGCUUGGAAAAAAGAAAUGGUUUCGUAGGUAAGCUGCAGAUGAAAAUCGAGUGUUGUUAUAGGCAUAGGCAUAGCCCUCAGCAGAGUGUGUGUGUAUAGCUGGCUGAUUCUUCCAGAACAAGAAACUAUGCGGCGAAUAACCACAAACUGCCAUCUAAACCGGGAAAUUACUCUCUAAUUCUUCGUAUUUGCGGUAUCCUGCCAAUUAGGGCUUCAAUCAUUCUCAAUGUGUUGAUAUUCAAUUACAUAAAUCAGACUUC
rnacentral:lncRNA from 1 species